rnacentral:rRNA from 1 species
GUAGGUGGCAAGCGUUGUCCGGAAUUAUUGGGCGUAAUGCGCGCGCAGGCGGUUCUUUAAGUCUGAUGUGAAAGCCCACGGCUCAACCGUGGAGGGUCAUUGGAAACUGGAGAACUUGAGUACAGAAGAGGAAAGCGGAAUUCCACGUGUAGCGGUGAAAUGCGUAGAGAUGUGGAGGAACACCAGUGGCGAAGGCGGCUUUCUGGUCUGUAACUGACGCUGAGGCGCGAAAGCGUGGGGGAGCAAACAGGAUUAGAUACCCUGGUAGUCCACGCCGUAAACGAUGAGUGCUAAGUGUUAGGGGGUUUCCGCCCCUUAGUGCUGCAGCUAACGCAUUAAGCACUCCGCCUGGGAGUACGGCCGCAAGGCUG